rnacentral:rRNA from 1 species
UCUUGACAGGACUAGCGGUAUUUAGACUGUUCAGAGGAACCUGUCCCGUAAUCGACAAUCCACGAUAUAUUUUACUUACUGUUGUUGGCAGUUUGUAUACCGCCGUAGUUGAAGGUAUUAAGGAGAGCUUAGAAACUUUCAUUAUCUUUAUUGAGGAGGACUUCAGGUCAAGGUGCAGCUUAUCAGUAAGAGGAGCUGGAUUACAAUGGAAUGUUUAUACGGAUUUUAUUAUGAAAUCAUUUAGAUGAGGUGGAUUUGAAUGUAAUAUUAGUUAUAUUGCUAUUAUGAGUAGGGCUCUAGAA